UUUUUUAAUCCUACCAAGUUCGACUUAAGAAGCUCAUCUACUCAGGAGUGUGGGACCAUCCCUUGGAGUAUGGCUAGCUAAAAAGCACAGACACUCUUUCCCCAGAAGCCUCACCUGGCAAGAGUUCCUCAGCCAGAGCUUAGAGACUGUCUUGUGUGGACUGGACACGGUGUUGGGAGCAGCAACUAACAUCACAUGGCUGUGACAGAGCCUGAGAGAAUCGCGACACUCGUAUCUGACCUGCCAUGAUCCAUCUGGUAACCGUGGACGCUGCUAAGAAGGGGCUGUUCAUU
rnacentral:lncRNA from 1 species